CCUACGGGUGGCUGCAGUGGGGAAUAUUGGACAAUGGGGGCAACCCUGAUCCAGCCAUGCCGCGUGUGUGAAGAAGGCCCUCGGGUUGUAAAGCACUUUCAGUGAGGAAGAACGCCUGGUGGUUAAUACCCAUCAGGAAAGACAUCACUCACAGAAGAAGCACCGGCUAACCCCGUGCCAGCAGCCGCGGUAAUACGGAGGGUGCGAGCGUUAAUCGGAAUUACUGGGCGUAAAGCGCGCGUAGGUGGCUUGAUAAGCCGGUUGUGAAAGCCCCGGGCUCAACCUGGGAACGGCAUCCGGAACUGUCAAGCUAGAGUGCAGGAGAGGAAGGUAGAAUUCCCGGUGUAGCGGUGAAAUGCGUAGAGAUCGGGAGGAAUACCAGUGGCGAAGGCGGCCUUCUGGACUGACACUGACACUGAGGUGCGAAAGCGUGGGUAGCAAACAGGAUUAGAUACCCUAGUAGUC
rnacentral:rRNA from 1 species